UACCUGGUUGAUCCUGCCAGUAGUCAUAUGCUUGUCUCAAAGAUUAAGCCAUGCAAGUCUAAGUACGAGCUCUCGUACAGUGAAACUGCGAAUGGCUCAUUAAAUCAGUUAUGGUUCAUUUGAUCGUACAGUUUACUUGGAUAACUGUGGUAAUUCUAGAGCUAAUACAUGCGAGAAGCGCCGACCUCGCGGGAGGCGUGCAUUUAUCAGACCAAAAACCGGCCGCGUCUUCGGGCGCGUUCGCCUUGGUGACUCUGGAUAACUUUGCGGAUCGCACGGUCUAGCACCGGCGACGGAUCAUUCAAGUGUCUGCCCUAUCAA
rnacentral:ncRNA from 1 species